rfam:Schistocephalus solidus strain NST_G2 genome assembly, scaffold: SSLN_scaffold0008518
GAUCUCGUAGCUCAGGUGGCUAGAGCGUCAGCUGUACUAAAGCCCUCCAAUUGCUGGCGUGGGUUCGAAUCCCACCAAGGCUG